GUCAUCUCCGCGAUAGAGUGUGGUUGGCACCACCUCGCCCAUCGGUGCCCAGUUGGACAUCCUCCAAAACCUUGUGGCUAAUACACGUUCGCUCAGGUCGGCCACGGUACACACUUUGGGAUCCAGGCGGUCCCCGCCCGGCCCCGCAACGGGUCGUGGUGGCGGAUUGCACCCAGCCGGUAUGAAGACCAGCGUCCUUCAACGGACAGUGUGUUGUGGUUGACCCAGGCUGGUCCCUCCUGGGACGGUUGCGCUGGCAGAGUUUCGGUGGCCCCGUCAAAACGGGCCACAGCCUCGGCUUGAUCGCACGAACUUCUGACCUAUCAGCUUGGACUGUGGUGUCGUGGACCACAGUGGCCUUGACGGGUAACGGAGAAUCAGGGUUCGAUUCCGGAGAGGGAGCCUGAGAGACGGCUACCACUACCAAGGUGGGCAGCAGGCGCGCAAAUUGCCCAAUGCAAACAAAGUCUGCGAGGCAGCGACGAACUGCAGCAAUUCCACUGGUCUUCUUCACCAGUGGAACUUGGAAUGGAUGCAAUCCAAAGACAGUGAUGAGUAACAACUGGAGGGAAAGUCUGGUGCCAGCAC
rnacentral:rRNA from 1 species